UACGUAGGGGGCUAGCGUUGUCCGGAAUCAUUGGGCGUAAAGAGCGUGUAGGCGGUCCGGUAAGUCCGCUGUGAAAGUCGGGGGCUCAACCCUCGAAUGCCGGUGGAUACUGUCGGGCUAGAGUGCGGAAGAGGCGAGUGGAAUUCCUGGUGUAGCGGUGAAAUGCGCAGAUAUCAGGAGGAACACCUAUUGCGAAGGCAGCUCGCUGGGACGUUACUGACGCUGAGACGCGAAAGCGUUGGGAGCAAACAGG
rnacentral:rRNA from 1 species